rnacentral:lncRNA from 1 species
AGCCCUUGUAUACUUUACCCUCACGAUCAUGCAUGGGUAACGCCAUGUCUCUUGCUGGAAAAGGCGGAAAUCCGGGGAAAUUUAAAAGCGCGCUGCCGAGUUCUCUGAAGCUCUUUGUGGUGUUUUUAUGAAGAGUUGGUAAGUAGAGGUUAGCAGCGAGUACGCUUCCUGCGGUGGUGAAGUAAUAGUAAGUAGGGAUACUGAGAGUACUCGAGGAAACUUGAAACGCGGGGUUGCAAAGGAAAUCGAUAACAAAGGCUUUCAGGUUUGAGCGUUUGGAAAUUGUUAUUAGGGUUUCGUGGAGAUUAGGGUUGUUGAGCUCGCCAAGCUCGUACACUAAGGCUGGGAAGUCAGCUGGUGAACGUAAAGUGUCGGGUAGGCCGGAAACCGGAGGAGGGAGUUGGUGGAAGGUAACGGAGGGAGCUGUGGCGGAGACGGAGGCGAUGUAAUCAUCGGUACCGGCGCUUGAUACGAACGGGGCGGUGGGGAUUAUGAUGUCAAUGGAGAAGCAAGGGUGGUACGUGAGUAUCAAUUUUCCUAAUUCAACCAUGGAGUUUAAGUGACCUCUUCCUGGAGAAGUAUAAAAGACAAUCGUAUCUUUCAUUUUUUUUAAUCUUUAAUUUUACAAGUUAAAAUAUUUUUAAAAAAAACAGUAGAAAUGGUGAGAAAUUAUAGUGAGAGAGAAUGAGAGUGUGAUAAAGGGCUCCUUUGUGUUUGCUAAUCGCAAUGCAAUUAUGCAUCGAAGCCCACGACGAAAUACUGGAAGCCUGUAGGUUACAGGGUUAAAUGGGCAAAGAAUUGUUGGUUGAAGUAAAGGGAGCUUAAAGAAACUUUCACAAGUGGAGGAGGAUUUUGGGGAAAACGAUUCAGUCUCUUCUACUCGGCUUCAAUGCCUUGCGUAAGUGUAGCAUGUGGGCUGAAUUAUUUAUCAAAACGAGAAGGACUUGCGAGUUGAGGUCACUUAGUUGCCAGGUUGUGAACCCAUCAGACAAUCACAGUAUGCUGACAUAAUUGACCAACCUGUUUUCUAGCCACAUAGUUCAACUACCCACUAUGACUUUUCAAAGCAAAUGACGUGGCCUAUGUUUACACCGCUUGAUUUACCUGUCCCCUACCCCGCUCUGUUUUCUCCUAAUCUUUAACUAGGCUCCACCGUAUUAAAAAUAAAAAUAAAAAACAAAAACUAUCCCUUAAUUCUUCUAGAUUACCAGAGGGAAGUGGUGGAAAGUGACGGAAGGAGUGGUGGCGGAGACGGAGGCGAUGCAACCGUGGAUACAGGAGCUUGUUUCGAAUGGGGCGGUGGUGCGGAUUAUGGUAGCAAGGGUGGUAAUUAAGUAUCAAUUUUCCUAAUCCUACGAUGAAAUUUAAGUGACAUUUUUCUUGGAGAAGGAUACAAAAUAAAGUAUUCUUUCAUUUCUUUACCUAUAAUUUAAAAUUAUUAAAUGCUAAAAAAAAGGUCGGAGCUUAUAGAAAAAAGUUUAGAAUAUUAAUAUAUUAGUUUUAUUGGUUUCUUUAUGAUAUAUUUACCGGUAAUUAUUUUUAAAGAUACAACGUUAUCAAAUUAGCUUUACAAAUAAUUCAUGUGACAAUUUAAUUUAAAUUUGUGAUCGUAUGUACAAUAAAAUUAAAUUUAUAGAGAGAAAACUCCUUAAAUUUUUAUCCUUUUAGAAGUAAGAAUAAUAUAUUAGGCAUGUGAACCUUCCAUUGCGAUUAGGCCAAUCAAAAUUUGAACAUAUGAAGUCUGCAACAGUCACUUCAAUUGCGAUUAGGCCAAUCAAAAUAUGAACAUAUGAAGUCUACAACAGUCACUUCCAUUGCGAUUAAGCCAAUCUUGUAGCUAUAUUCGUGGCAUGUUAAUGCUGACCAAUUUUAAUUUAAAUUAUUGGCUCGGCGAGUACUGAAGUACAAUUAAUCUGUCCGCGAAAUCGGAAUAAAAUAUUUGUGUCCCAAUUUACUGGCACAUUACAUGUCAAUUGAUUAAUGAUAGCAUAAAGAGGUGUGCUAGCGACAGUCGGUCGCCCUUGUGGGCCACUAACUCAGUCGCUCUUUUAUUUUAUGGGCACGUGUUUGAUAUUUUGGUUCUGUGUAAUUUUAAAUUAAUGUUAAUAUCUUUAAGUUUUGUUUUAAUAUUAUUAUUUUUAUGUAUAACGAAUUUACCACAAUAUCCUUAUCAUUUCUCCCUCUCGCCAGGCUUGUUCUCCCUGCCACUGCAGCUCCUUCUCUGCUUCUUCAAUUUCUUUUCUCUCUCUACUGGAAGCUUGGAAAAAAGAGAGAAAAGGGAAAAAAAAAAAUUUGAAGUCAAGUCUCCUUUUUAGCCAAAAUAAAAUUUUAAAAAAUAUUUUACUUUAAAAAAUAAAUAACAAAAAUUAUCCUAGCCAUGUAGAUCCGAUUACGCACCUAAAAUAAAAUAUCAUAUCAAAUCUGAAGUAGGAGAAGUGGAGAGACGGUCAUCUUUCAAGCAACGAUAAUAUUUUGUUAUCAUUUCUUUUUUUAGGAGACUUUGUUUUUUUAAAUCUUUUUUCCCCUUGUCUUUUUUUUUUUUUCCCUUCCAAUCUUUCGUUAAAGGAGAAAAGAAGGAAAAGAAAUUGACGAAGAAGAGAACAAUAAGAAGAGAAAGCUUGGCAAGGAGGAGAAAGGAUAAGGAUGUUUUGGUAAUUUCACUAUACAUAUAUAUAAUAAUAUUAAAAUAAAACUAAAAGAUAUUAAUAUUUUAACAUUUAUUUAAAACUAUACAGAACCCAAAAUAUCAAACACGUGUCAGCAAAUGAAGUUAGCGGCUGAUGGGCGAUUGUCGCUAACACUCCUCUACUAUUAAAAAGCCAGCUAUUAUUAAACCCAUCACAUGUCAUUUCUUUAAAAUGUUGUAUUCAAGAAGCAUAUGAAGUCUCCUUCAAUUUUUUUAAAACUUCUAACUAUAUUUCAAUGGAAUUCUCACUAAACCUGCUUAACAAUUAACUAAAAUAUGUAGCUGGCAAAUUAAUUUCAACUUUUGCUUACGAGGAAAUACUACUAAUCAAGUUUUUUACAAUGAGGAUCAAAAUUCUCAAUUAAAAUAGGCGACGUUUUCUCGUAUUCUAUAAUUUCUCUUAAGCAUAUGGUUAAAUUAUUAUUUGGCAGUCGUAUGUAAAUGAAAGAAAUUCACACUUCUUUGUAAUUAAAAUUAUUCUCAACAUUAUUUUGCUCUUCCAUAAAUUCAAUAGGAGUCACUUUAUAUGUGUUCUAAGAUUAAUAAAAAAUAAAUAAAGAUAUCAAUUCAGGGUUAAAAAAAAUGUAACGGUGAGUGUAAAGAUGGGCUUAAAGAAUACAAAUAUUUUAAUAAUUUAAUUUUUUUUUUCCAAGUGUGGAUUUAGUGAGUGGGUUUGUGUGUUCAAAUGCAUAUUAUUAUGUAAUAAAAAAAUACAAAUAAUUAUUACGAAGUGUUUGUACUAUGGACUUUUCGGAUAAGCCAAUUAACGACUAUUGCUAAAAGCCCCUCACUGUAUUCAUGCAAGUGAUCCAAGGCCGUAUCGUAGCUCAAGCACCAAACAGCUUAAUUUAUGUUUGGGCCGGGUCGGAUUAUGGACUUUGGACUGAAUUUCUUUUUGGUACUUUUUGAGAAAAAUAACAAGAAGACACUAAAAUACAGCAGUCACAAACUCUCAACUAUUGUAUACAAAUAGAUAACAUAAUAAAAAUAAAUGAUAUGGAUGGUACGGUGUUUUAUUUAAUUAAAUCCAUGCUAUUUAUACCACGUGAGUUGUACAAUAAAUUUGUAGUUAGCCACAUCUAGUUCUCGUAAUUGUGCCCUUCAUAGAUUACCUUAUCUAAGCCCUUAGGCAAUCGUAUGGCCGAGAUUACCUUAGUAUUGACUAUAAGACAAAAGUUGGUGACUUAAAUUUUGCAUUCCUCUACUAACGUGACAUGACUUUUGUUUUGUUGCCUUAUUCAUUUAUUUCUUUACUUUUGUUUUAUUACCUUAUUUAUUUAAUUCUCUACUUUUUCGUCCUUUUUGUCUUUUCUCUAUGAUCAAUGCAAAAUUUUAACAAUUUUUAAGCCCAUUCAACUCGGCAUCAUUCAUGUUUAGCUAAGCAUUCUUUGGUCAGCUCAAGGUCAUAUUAUCCCCCGUUUAAGUUUCCAACACAGAUCAUAUCUUCUCGAUAUUGGAAACUAAGCGACUAGUGUUCGGUUUACGAAUAUUUUUCUAUUUUUUUUAAUAAUUAAUUUCUAACACUCGUAAUAACUUCCUGAUAUUAAAAACUAAGGGAUUGAUGUUGAGAUUAGUUUUUUUUUUUUGACCCAAUGCCGAGAAAUACAAUUGACCCUAACUUGUUAGGAAUCAAAUGCUAUUGAACUGACCUCAUGAGUACAACCAAAAACCUAUGUUGACAACCUGAUUUUAUAAGUACAACUUCGAAUUAAUGUGGACGACCUUAUUUAUAAAUACAACUCUAGGUCUAUGCGAGCGACAUAAAAAUCCACCAAUAUGAUUUGGAAAUGAAGUAAUUCAACCUCGAAACUUGUUUGUCCAACCUGAGGAUGUGCUAGCUCGACACGAAAUAUUAUUUGUCAAGACCACGAGGCCUAUAUUUUGGGGAAAUUACAAACCACAACUUGUCAAACCGUCUUCAACUGACGACUAGCUAUAACUGCUCAAGAGAAUGGGAUAAAACUGAUGGAGUAACCAUCCACAACUGAGAGUCUAUUUUAAGUGGAAAAGAGCAUCAAAGGAAAUGAUUAGAAAAAUUAACUAAAAAGCUCUAUAAAUGACUAGUCUUAAAACCUUCUUAUUUUUUAUGAGAUUAACAACACAACCACCCAAGAAUUCUUUGAUUUUAACUCAUUUCCAAUUCCUCUUUUUCAUUUUCUUUUUUCUCAUAUACAAAACAUCUUACUUAAGCAUCAAAGGAUUCUUGUCGAAACCCCCACCAGUGUGUAUUAACCGUGUUCUAUGGUUAGUAGGUAUAAGAAGUUAUGGUUGAGCUGUAGUUUGAGCUUGGAUUCGUGUUGUUAUUCCCUAGACAAAUAAAUUCAAAUGUUAAGGCAGUUUUUCUGCAUCACCACCCUCCUUAAAAGACAUUCAUUAAAUAAUAAUCCUUUGGUAAUUAGCCCAUGAGCGUACUAAGAAUAGUAAAGGAAAUCUACGGAAUGACAUACAAUUGUUAAUAUUCCAAAUUAAAGAAAAACAUCAUCGUUUAUUUUUAAAAGAACGAGAGAGAAUCACAGGUGCUAAUUUUUACUCGAAUAAUUUUAUACAUAUACAUUUACUCAAAAAGUUAGCAAAGGAAAAAAAAUGCAUGAACUUAUUAAAAACAAAAAAUAUUGAAUUACUAAACAGAAAUUUUAUGCAACUUUUGUGAAAACUUCAUUAUUGUUUUGACUGUCCCAACGGAGCCAUGCGUCCUCUUUUAAAUGACUCAACCAAAUUGUCCAAUGCAACACGAGAUGACCCACCAUCCCUCAUCGCUGCUGCAGCUGCUUCUUUCAUUGCCACCGCACGUUCUUUAACAGCUCUACCUUUCUCCGAGUCCAUCAACUCACUAACUCGCUGCUCCAACUCGGCUGAGCUCACCAAUCCGUCUCCUUCUUCUGACCGAGUCACCGCCAAACCCACCUUCAUUUCCUCCACCACGACCGCUCUAAUCAUCUUUUGCUCGGCAUACAGAGGCCAAGCCAACAUUGGCACCCCGGCACAAACACCUUCAAGCACCGAGUUCCACCCGCAGUGAGUCACAAACCCGCCAACUGACUCAUGAUUCAGUACCUCCACUUGCGGCGCCCACGAUUCAACCACGAGCCCCCUAUCUUUUGUUCUAUCCAAGAACCCUUCAGGUAAAAGAGACUCCAAUGAGCUUCGGUUCUCGACGCUGUCGGGAGCUGGAGCUCUCACGACCCAAAGAAACUUAACACCACUUCUCUCCAACCCAAUGGCCAUUUCUUUUAACUGCUUACAAGAGAACGAUCCCAAGCUUCCGAAACAAAGAAACAGGACGCUUCGACUCGGUUUCGAGUCAAGCCAGCUCAAGCAUUCAUGUCGAUCACGUCCUCGAUUCUCUCCAUUUCCUCGACCAACCACGGGCCCUAUGCAAUAUAAAGGCGGCAACGUCUCCCCUGGAAUGCAUUGUCCUUCUAGCAUCGCUUUGAUAGCUCUCUCUUGGAGCAAUUCAAAUGUGUUUACAAUAAUCCCCGCAGAUUUUGCCAUCUGGAUGCCGGUGUCGACUAAGCCCUUGUAUACUUUACCCUCACGAUCAUGCAUGGGUAACGCCAUGUCUCUUGCUGGAAAAGGCGGAAAUCCGGGGAAAUUUAAAAGCGCGCUGCCGAGUUCUCUGAAGCUCUUUGUGGUGUUUUUAUGAAGAGUUGGUAAGUAGAGGUUAGCAGCGAGUACGCUUCCUGCGGUGGUGAAGUAAUAGUAAGUAGGGAUACUGAGAGUACUCGAGGAAACUUGAAACGCGGGGUUGCAAAGGAAAUCGAUAACAAAGGCUUUCAGGUUUGAGCGUUUGGAAAUUGUUAUUAGGGUUUCGUGGAGAUUAGGGUUGUUGAGCUCGCCAAGCUCGUACACUAAGGCUGGGAAGUCAGCUGGUGAACGUAAAGUGUCGGGUAUGCGGGAAACCGGAGGAGGGAGCUGGUGGAAGGUAACGGAGGGAGCUGUGGCGGAGACGGAGGCGAUGUAAUCAUCGGUACCGGCGCUUGUUACGAACGGGGCGGUGGGGAUUAUGAUGUCGAUGGAGAAGCAAGGGUGGUACGUGAGUAUCAAUUUUCCUAAUUCUACCAUGG